GGUACUGAGACAGCGACCCAGGCCUUACGAGGCGCAGCAGGCGCGAGACCUCCGCAAUACACGCAAGCGUGACGGGGUUACCCAAAGUGUCCUUAUUGGACUGUGGCGGGUGAGUAAUGUUCCCCGCUAGAAAGGAGAGGGCAAGGCUGGUGCCAGCCGCCGCGGUAAAACCAGCUCUUCAAGUGGUCGGGAUAAUUAUUGGGCUUAAAGUGUCCGUAGCCGGUUUAGUAAGUUCCUGGUAAAACCGGGCAGCUUAACUGUCCGUAUGCUAGGAAUACUGCUAUGCUAGAGGGCGGGAGAGGUCUGAGGUACUACAGGGGUAGGGGUGAAAUCUUAUAAUCCUUGUAGGACCACCAGUGGCGAAAGCGUCAGACUGGAACGCGCCUGACGGUGAGGGCCGAAAGCCAGGGGAGCGAACCGGAUUAGAUACCCGGGUAGUCCUGGCCGUAAACGAUGCAUACUAGGCAAUGGUGCGGCCAUGAGCCGCAUCAGUACCGUAGGGAAACCGUUAAGUGUGCCGCCUGGGAAGUACGGUCGCAAGGCUAAAACUUAAAGGAAUUGGCGGGGGAGCACCACAAGGGGUGAAGCCUGCGGUUCAAUUGGACUCAACGCCGGGAAACUUACCAGGGGAGACAGCAGAAUGACAGUCAGGUUGACGACCUUACUCGACGAGCUGAGAGGAGGUGCAUGGCCGUCGCCAGUUCGUGCUGUGAGGUAUCCUGUUAAGUCUGGCAACGAACGAGAUCCGCGCCUUUAUUUGCCAUCAAGAAGUCACGACUUAUUAGCGCAACACUAAAGGGACCGCCGUCGAUAAGACGGAGGAAGGAGCGGGCAAAGGCAGGUCAGUAUGCCCCGAAACCCCUGGGCUACACGCGGGCUGCAAUGGUGCGAACAAUGGGCUGUAACUCCGAAAGGAGUAACCA
rnacentral:rRNA from 1 species